rnacentral:snoRNA from 1 species
ACUGGCAGGGAUGAUAUACACUUGCCCUCACAUAGAUCAUAGUUCAUUGAUGAGAGCUUUGUUCUGAGCCAGU